GGCUUUUCUUUAGUGUAAAAAGCUUUUGGAAUAAGAGCUGGGCAAGACCGGUGCCAGCCGCCGCGGUAACACCGGCAGCUCUAGUGGUAGCAAUUUUUAUUGGGCCUAAAGCGUCCGUAGCCGGUUUAAUAAGUCUCUGGUGAAAUCCUGUAGCUUAACUGUGGGAAUUGCUGGAGAUACUAUUAGACUUGAGACCGGGAGAGGUUAGAGGUACUCCCAGGGUAGAGGUGAAAUUCUGUAAUCCUGGGAGGACCGCCUGUUGCGAAGGCGUCUAACUGGAACGGUUCUGACGGUGAGGGACGAAAGUUAGGGGCGCGAACCGGAUUAGAUACCCGGGUAGUCCUAACUGUAAACGAUGCGGACUUGGUGUUGGGGUGGCUUUGAGCUGCUUCAGUGCCGAAGGGAAGCUGUUAAGUCCGCCGCCUGGGAAGUACGGUCGCAAGACUGAAACUUAA
rnacentral:rRNA from 1 species